rnacentral:rRNA from 1 species
UACGUAGGGGGCGAGCGUUGUCCGGAUUUCUUGGGCGUAAAAGGCUUGUAGGUGGCCACGCCAAGUCGGAUGUGAAAUCUCCCGGCUCAACUGGGAGGGGUCAUUCGAUACUGGCGGGCUCGAGGCCGGUAGGGGGAAGCGGAAUUCCCGGUGUAGUGGUGGAAUGCGUAGAUAUCGGGAGGAACACCAGUGGCGAAGGCGGCUUCCUGGACCGGUUCUGACACUGAGGAGCGAAAGCGUGGGGAGCGAUCCGG